UACGGAGGGGGCUAGCGUUGUUCGGAAUUACUGGGCGUAAAGCGCACGUAGGCGGCUUUGUAAGUUAGAGGUGAAAGCCCAGAGCUCAACUCUGGAAUUGCCUUUAAGACUGCAUCGCUUGAAUCAUGGAGAGGUGAGUGGAAUUCCGAGUGUAGAGGUGAAAUUCGUAGAUAUUCGGAAGAACACCAGUGGCGAAGGCGGCUCACUGGCCCGAUACUGACGCUGAGGCACGAAAGCGUGGGGAGCAAACAGG
rnacentral:rRNA from 1 species